AGGCGCGUAGCUCAGUUGGUUAGAGCGCUUGCUUGACAGGCAAGAGGUCCGCAGUUCGACUCUGCGCGCGCCUACCA
rnacentral:tRNA from 1 species